AUAGGCGUAUGGUAGGCGACGUUGGAUAAGAAACAGCAAGUUAAAUCUCCACUACGUCGCAUUACCAAGCAGUAAAUCUUCGUCCUGUAGCUUUAAAUUUCCAUUUUUUACCCCGCAUGACCGCGUUCAGGCAAGCAUGUCUUUGCGCAAAACUUUUAAAUCUUAGGAUGAAUAUUAUGUCUAAUACUGUAAAUGGUACUGUUAAGUGGUUUAACGAAGCUAAAGGUUUCGGUUUUAUUGAGCAACAAGGUGGCGCAGACGUAUUUGCUCACUUUAGCGCAAUUACCGGUAACGGUUUCAAAACCCUUGCGGAAGGUCAACGUGUAUCGUUCACCAUUACCCAAGGUCCUAAAGGACCACAAGCUGAGAACAUCACUGCUAUCUAAGCCGCAGUUCUAACGCUUUGAAAAAGCCGUGCAAUGCACGGCUUUUUUG
rnacentral:sRNA from 1 species